AGUGAACGCUGGCGGUAGGCCUAACACAUGCAGGUCGAACGGCAGCACAGUAAGAGCUUGCUCUUACGGGUGGCGAGUGGCGGACGGGUGAGGAAUACAUCGGAAUCUACUUUUUCGUGGGGGAUAACGUAGGGAAACUUACGCUAAUACCGCAUACGACUUACGGGUGAAAGCAGGGGAUCUUCGGACCUUGCGCGAUUGAAUGAGCCGAUGUCGGAUUAGCUAGUUGGCGGGGUAAAGGCCCACCAAGGCGACGAUCCGUAGCUGGUCUGAGAGGAUGAUCAGCCACACUGGAACUGAGACACGGUCCAGACUCCUACGGGAGGCAGCAGUGGGGAAUAUUGGACAAUGGGCGCAAGCCUGAUCCAGCCAUACCGCGUGGGUGAAGAAGGCCUUCGGGUUGUAAAGCCCUUUUGUUGGGAAAGAAAAGCAGCAGGUUAAUACCCCGCUGUUCUGACGGUACCCAAAGAAUAAGCACCGGCUAACUUCGU
rnacentral:rRNA from 1 species